UGGCGGACGGGGAGGUAAUGUCUGGGAAACUGCCCGAUGAGGGGGAGUAACUACUGGAAACGGUAGCUAAUACCGCAUAACGUCGCAAGACCAAAGAGGGGGACCUUAGGGCCUCUUGCCAUCGGAUGUGCCCAGAUGGGAUUAGCUAGUAGGUGGGGUAACGGCUCACCUAGGCGACGAUCCCUAGCUGGUCUGAGAGGAUGACCAGCCACACUGGAACUGAGACACGGUCCAG
rnacentral:rRNA from 1 species